rnacentral:ncRNA from 2 species
AAAUUAUCAAGAAAGCCGGGGAGAGUAUUGGCUCAUUGAUCCGGUUAGCAACCAGUUUAGUUGCCCGUAACUAUUUAUUGGUAACUGAACGUGGUGCUCCAUCCAACCCGUUAACGCAUAAGCGGGAAAGAUAAGCU